UUUGAUCUUUGUAUAGUUGUGUCAAGUCCCUUUAAAUAAGCUUUCCUGGUCAUUUAAUUGAAGCCUUUCAGAACGAGGAUAAACAGGAAAGGCGAUCAGAGAUCUCCCUAUCUCAACUACAUCUUAGGUAGGAAAGAGCCUUUUAAGUUUCCAUUUAUGAUUAAUUAGGUUUAUCACAAGUUUGGCAAUGUCAGGCCUAUCAACAUUGUGGAGGAGUUUAAUAACCAUAAACACAAGGGUAGCGUUGAUAGUUAUGGAAGCAUAAUUUAAUUAGUCGAAAGGGGUGCUUGGGUCGAGAAUUUGAGAACUUCGAGGUUGGUUAAUGGAUGGACAUAACGGUUCAUUGAAAAUGAAGUCACUACCAACAUGUGAGUUCUGUUCAGAAGGAAAAAUAACUAAGAGACUUUUCCUUAUAAAAAAAAAGGAAAAGGUGGUAGUGAUAAGUUAGAAUUAUUUCAUCUUGAUUUGUGAUGUAAAUGAACAUUCGGGCAAGAGGUGACUUUGAGUAUUCUAAGAUAUCCACAAACGGUUACUCAUGAAAUGAAUAUAUUUUAUUUUGA